rnacentral:rRNA from 1 species
UGGGGAAUAUUGCACAAUGGGCGCAAGCCUGAUGCAGCCAUGCCGCGUGUAUGAAGAAGGCCUUCGGGUUGUAAAGUACUUUCAGCGGGGAGGAAGGCGAUGCGGUUAAUAACCGCGUCGAUUGACGUUACCCGCAGAAGAAGCACCGGCUAACUCCGUGCCAGCAGCCGCGGUAAUACGGAGGGGGCAAGCGUUAAUCGGCAUUACUGGGCGUAAAGCGCACGCAGGCGGUCUGUCAAGUCGGAUGUGAAAUCCCCGGGCUCAACCUGGGAACUGCAUCCGAAACUGGCAGGCUUGAGUCUCGUAGAGGGGGGUAGAAUUCCAGGUGUAGCGGUGAAAUGCGUAGAGAUCUGGAGGAAUACCGGUGGCGAAGGCGGCCCCCUGGACGAAGACUGACGCUCAGGUGCGAAAGCGUGGGGAGCAAACA